CUCCAUUAACAUCAGCUCCAGAUCUGGGUACUUAACAGCACUACAUUCAGCCACAUCAACGACAAUCUAAAGAAGACUACUGAAAAAUUAAAACUAGCUUCAUCCUACAGAAUGGAUUCUAACUUAUUACCAAGAAAAUAAUUCUUAUUCAGUUUUCAAUAAACUUUAUCAGAGACGGGGUACUUGAUAUGAGAGAGUGGCCAAUGGGAAUCACCAAAUGAGUGAAGAAAAGUUUCAAACAUCAGGAAAAAAAAACAGCGCAUUGCAAAACAUAUUAGACUGAACCUAUCGAUGACAAAAUGCAACUGUGAAAUGUUGAGACUGUUCAUCAAAGCUGGACAUAAGCAGGAUCCAUUCCAUUUUCAAAGAGGUAGAGUGACUGUCUGAAAAAACAAAAGUAACUAGAAAAUUGAUAAAACUGACCGAGUCAUCUAUGCAGAAAGUUGCUUAUAUAGACCCAUAAUAUAAUACAUUUGUGAUCAUAAAGCACAAUUUUGAUUUUGGAAUUGCAAUCAUAGUUCAAGGCGAGUAACAAUUUUAACCUCUGUAAUUAUUUUAAAAGCUAAUGCACAUCCUUUAACAAUUCAGUUUGCUGAAAUGGUCACUUAUGCUUUUGUAUUUAUACACCUAAACAUCAUCUAAGUGCAAUAGAUUUUACAAUCCCAGGUGAUUUACCUAGACUGCAACAUUGUUAUCAAAUGAUAACCUUCUAAGUUUCUUGAAUUCAUGGGUCAUAUUCCUUUGUUUGAGCUGCAUAAAACCUAUAUCACUGAGCAGUCACUUAAUAUCUCUGAUGAUAAGGAUGUUAAUGAGUUUUGUAAUACUUUUCUGAGUUAUUUCUCUGUUACAAUAUUGCUUCUUGAAUGCUAUACAUUGUUUAUUCUUGUUUUAUGUGGUACACAUGUAUUAUUUACUUACCAGAUAAUCGCAGUUUUCCCGUCAUAAAAAUCAAAAGGUCGAAAAAAAUUUGAGAAAUUUGAGAAAAAUAUUUGAGAAAUUUAGUUCAUUUUCCCAUUGUUUUUUAUUUCAUAUAAAACUGGGAAUAAAAUAUGGCAAAGCUGUUUAUUUGCCCUAUUUUUAUUUUUUGGCCCUAUUUUUCAUAUUUAAGGAUUUCAAUUGCACAGUAUUUUUUAAAAUUUCUGGUGGCUGUUAUGUAUUGUACAUAAAAAUAUUUAGAAUUCUUUUCUUACCACCAAAA
rnacentral:lncRNA from 1 species